AAGAACCCACCAGGGAUUGCCCUAGUAACGGCGAGUGAAGCGGCAACAGCUCAAAUUUGAAAUCUGGCUCUUUUAGAGUCCGAGUUGUAAUUUGCAGAGGGCGCUUUGGCUUUGGCAGCGGUCCAAGUUCCUUGGAACAGGACGUCACAGAGGGUGAGAAUCCCGUACGUGGUCGCUGGCUAUUGCCGUGUAAAGCCCCUUCGACGAGUCGAGUUGUUUGGGAAUGCAGCUCUAAAUGGGAGGUACAUUUCUUCUAAAGCUAAAUAUUGGCCAGAGACCGAUAGCGCACAAGUAGAGUGAUCGAAAGAUGAAAAGCACUUUGGAAAGAGAGUCAAACAGCACGUGAAAUUGUUGAAAGGGAAGCGCUUGCAGCCAGACUUGCUUACAGUUGCUCAUCCGGGUUUCUACCCGGUGCACUCUUCUGUAGGCAGGCCAGCAUCAGUUUGGGCGGUAGGAUAAAGGUCUCUGUCACGUACCUCCUUUCGGGGAGGCCUUAUAGGGGAGACGACAUACUACCAGCCUGGACUGAGGUCCGCGCAUCUGCUAGGAUGCUGGCGUAAUGGCUGUAAGCGGCCCGUCUUGAAACACGGACCAAGGAGUCUAACAUCUAUGCGAGUGUUUGGGUGUCAAGCCCGAGCGCGUAAUGAAAGUGAACGGAGGUGGGAACCCGCAAGGGUGCACCAUCGACCGAUCCUGAUGUCUUCGGAAGGAUUUGAGUAAGAGCAUGGCUGUUGGGACCCGAAAGAUGGUGAACUAUGCUUGAAUAGGGUGAAGCCAGAGGAAACUCUGGUGGAGGCUCGCAGCGGUUCUGACGUGCAAAUCGAUCGUCAAAUUUGGGCAUAGGGGCGAAAGACUAAUCG
rnacentral:rRNA from 1 species